rnacentral:rRNA from 1 species
GCUUAACACAUGCAAGUCGAGCGAGAAUCGUUUUGCUGAAGGCUUCGGUCUGACGCAGAAUGAGGAAAGCGGCGAACGGGUGAGUAACGCGUGGGCAACCUGGCCUUAAGAAAAGGAUAGCCCCCGGAAACGGGGAGUAAUACUUUAUGAGAAUAGAAAAGGGCAUCCUAUUUCUAUUCAAAGCGCAAGCGCUUAAGGAUGGGCCCGCGUAUCAUUAGGUAGUUGGUGAGAUAACAGCCCACCAAGGCAACGAUGAUUAGCCGGUCUGAGAGGGCGAACGGCCACAUUGGAACUGAGAGACGGUCCAAACGCCUACGGGAGGCAGCAGUGGGGAAUAUUGCGCAAUGGAGAAGAACUCUGACGCAGCAAUACCGCGUGAGCGAAGAAGGUCUUCGGAUCGUAAAGCUCUGUUAUCAGGGAAGAAGAAAAUGACGGUACCUGAUGAGCAAGUCCCGGCUAACUACGUGCCAGCCGCCGCCGUAA